rnacentral:lncRNA from 1 species
UUUUUUUUUUUUUUUAAGAUUUUAUUUAUUUGAGAGAGCAGGAGCAGGGAGGAGAGACAGAAGCAGACUCCCCACUGAGCAGGGAGCCUGAUGCGGGGCUGGAUCUCAGGACUCCAGGAUCAUGACCUUUGAAGGCAGACGCUCAACCCACUGAGCCAUACAGGCGCCCUGACAUCAUACUAUUUUUAGUUAAUAUGUAUCAUUAUAAGUUCUCCAUUAUUCUUUAUGUAAACAUCUCUUGGCUCUUAUUUAUUCUAUAAAAAUGAAAUUUAGAAUCACUGACCUAUGAAAAAUUCUGAGAUUUUGAUUAGAAUUACAUUAAAUAUACAAAUAUGAAGACAUGGGAAAUAAUUAAUAAACUGCCUUGCUAUCUAGAAUCACUGGGUCUCUGCAUCUUCAGAAUGGAGUUUAAGAGUUUCCUGCCCAUGGGCCAUUCACAUUUCUUACAGAGUUUAAUCCUCAGCAUAAAUUUUUAUUGCUACUAGGAAUGGACUCUUUGUUUUUUAAUUUUUGAACUAUUACUACUAUGUAAACCAUGAUAUUUACAUUACAGUGGAAUUUUACUACAUUAGUUUAAGUAUUCUGGGCAUUUUUAUUAUCUGCAAAUAAUUUUGUUCUUGCCAAUAGUUCUCUCUCUUUUUCUGUUCUUAAUACAGUGGCUGGAUAUUUCAUAGUUAAUUUAGAUAAGUAGUGAUGACAGCAAGUAUGAUGCUAAUUCUAAUAGGAGAUAAAAUUCUAGGGUUUCACCAUUAUUAGUAUUUUGGUUAUCGACAGCUUGAUUCCUAAUUUGUGGACACUUCCCAUAAAAUAUUUAUAGUAAAGAUCUUUAAACAGUGAGAUAAUAGGUGAUUAUAUUUUCCUUCAAAUUUUGUUGAUUUAUAUUUUCUAAAAAAAUUAUCCAUUUGAUUAAGAGUCUCAUACAUAUGUAGAAAAGUGUCUACAAAAGUAUUACCAUUUGUAUCUACAGAAGUUAUAUCCAAUAACUGCUAAUUUUGUCUUUUAUGUAUAUUGUUAGACUAGACACAAACUCUUCCAAUUUGUUUUCCAAGUUUCCUAAAAUGAAUGGACACAUACCUUUAUCUCCUUAUUUCUCUUAAUAUUUCUUGUUUAAGUAGAAAUGUUUUUAACUCCAAAUUACCUUGAUUAGUAAUCAGUAUCUUGCAGAAAGCAAGAGUGAAGCAAACCCUAAAAGUUUUGUUAUUAGAAACAACAUUCUACUGUCCUUUGUGAAAGAGAGCAUAAUCUAAAAAUAAUGCCGAUAUAAAUUUCUCAAAGUAAACUUACUCUAAUUUAAAUGAUACCUCAUCCUUUUUACUUAAAUACAUUCAUUUAAGUAAAAGAUGCCAUAAAAUAAAUAUAUUAACAAUUUGAUAUUAGGAAAAUCCUAACAUUCCCAAAUCAGAGUUCCAUGUAAAUCAGAUUCCAAUACUCAUAGUAUAAAAACUUGCAUGUUAACAAAUGUGUAUGGCAAUGUGUUCAAAUCCUUAUCAAAUUCCUUUUUUUCAUAUUUUAUUAAGUAACCAUUAGACUGAACCUAUCUUUUCAUCUGAAAUAGUUAAUUUGAGAUACAUUAUCAGAAAAUGCCAGUUUCAAAUAUAAACAGCUAACUUUUCAUUUUUACUCUACCAGGGAAAUUUCAAAGUGCUAAAAAAUACAAGCUGCUACUCAUCUGCUAAAAACAGAAAUGAAAUAAUUAGAUCACGAUGACUCCUUUCUCAGAGGGGAAAAAAAAAAAAGAUGAAUGCAACUGGAAUGUUUAUUGUCACUGAAAUUCUUCAGGCCUGGAUUCCAAGUAUGGGUUUGAUGCAGGUUACUAUGACAACUUAAAUUACAGAAACUGUCCCCUCUUCUACUAAGUUUUUUUGCCAAGAGAUCAUUUCGAGUCUCCUAAAAUCUGUGUGCAUGAAUUACCUAUAAUAACAAAUAUUUCUUUGUAAGUUUUAUUUAGAAAUGCUCCCAUCUAAACCAUUAAAACUAAGCAUAAACAUAUAAGAAACAAAUCCCACAAAUCUACAUGGGGCAGAAAACCUAACCUGAAAACACGAACAUACACACACACACAGCUUAAAAUAUAAAAUGUUGAGAGUAUUUUGAAACUACUUCCCACUACCUGAAGCACAAGAUACAACCAUCAUAAGCUUCAUUACAGAAACUAUGGGAAAUUACUUACAAGGCAGUUUGGAAAAAAGAUUAUAGAGCUUAGUCCUGUUUAUCAUUUUUUCCCCUCUAUUAAAUGCCUCUUACAGGAAGGCACCAGAAAACGGGGAUGGGAGAAGAAUGCAGUCCUAUUGUGAAUAGAAGUAAAUAAAUAAUAUGUAAAAUCUUAUUUUGUUUUAUGUAAUUUUUUUUACAUAAAAUGGAGCUUGAAAGUUCCCACAUAGCCUCAAAUUUACAAACAUAAAAAAAAGAUGCCUUGUAAUAAGUAAAAUGUGAAUUAUUCUCUAUCAUUCCCUAAAAGAAUAAUGGCUCAGGAAAAACUGCAUCAUUGUGGAGAAAUUUAGUAGAAAUAUUCUGAUUGUAAGACAUUAAACACUUAAAGUUGCUUCAUAAAAAAAAAAUAAUAAAAUUAAGGUACUUUCACAGUGUAGCAAUACUGAGAAUUCAAAGCUAGUUUUGUUGCAUCAAAGUUAACAUGCCUAAAAUUAGAUGCUUCAUUUCAAAAAACUUUAGGGAACUCACAUACCCUCUCUUUCAAUGACUAAAACGGGUU